GGGGCCGUAGCUCAGUUGGGAGAGCGCUGCAAUGGCAUUGCAGAGGUCAGGGGUUCGAUCCCCCUCGGCUCCACCA
rnacentral:tRNA from 1 species